AGUGAAUAUUAGGACAUCGCUUCGGCGAGUUCGACCCUCCACUUUUCAACUCUGUGCAUUUAUUGGCGGAAUCGAGCGAGCAAUCGUGAAGUUCUGCGUCUCAUUUUUAAACACUAGUCAAAGUAUGUAACGAAAUAUCGAAAUAAAAAAAAACUUUCAACAACGGAUCUCUCGGCUCUCGCAUCGAUGAAGAACGCAGCGAAAUGUGAUAAGUAAUGUGAAUUGCAGAAUUCAGUGAAUCAUCGAAUCUUUGAACGCACCUUGCGCUCCCUGGUAUUCCGGGGAGCAUGUCUGUUUGAGUGUCAUGAACUCUUCAACCCACCAGUUUCUUGUAGACUGAUUGGUGUUUGGAUUUUGAGCGCUGCUGGUCUUCGGAUCUAGCUCGUUCGUAAUAUAUUAGCAUCUCUAAUUCGACUUCGGAUUGACUCAGUGUAAUAGACUAUUCGCUGAGGACACACCUAGUGUGGCCGAACGUUGAUCUCAGUAGAAGCUUCCAACUAUUGUAGUCAAUUUUAGAUUAGACCUCAGAUCAGGCAGGAUUACCCGCUGAACUUAA
rnacentral:rRNA from 1 species